AUGCAAGUCGAGCGGGAUUUCUUUUGGUAGCAAUACCGAGAGAAAUUCAGCGGCGAACGGGUGCGUAACACGUGGGCAAUUUGCCUUAAAGUGUGGGAUAGCUCGGCGAAAGCCGAAUUAAUACCGCAUGUGGCUACUGGAGACAUCUUCGGGACGCUAAAGGUGGCGCAAGCUACCGCUUUUUGAGGAGCCCGCGGCCUAUCAGCUUGUUGGCGAGGUAACGGCUCACCAAGGCGAUGACGGGUAGCUGGUCUGAGAGGACGACCAGCCACACUGGGACUGAGACACGGCCCAGACACCUACGGGUGGCAGCAGUCGAGAAUUUUUGACAAUGGGGGAAACCCUGAUCGAGCGACGCCGCGUGGAGGAUGAAGGUCUUCGGGUUGUAAACUCCUGUCAUUUGGGAACAAGGCGUAUGUGUUAACUGUACGUGCGUUGAUAGUACCAGAAGAGGAAGAGACGGCUAACUCUGUGCCAGCAGCCGCGGUAAUACAGAGGUCUCAAGCGUUGUUCGGAUUCAUUGGGCGUAAAGGGUGUGUAGGUGGCGCGCUAAGUCGGGUGUGAAAUUUCGGAGCUUAACUCCGAAACUGCAUUCGAUACUGGCGUGCUUGAGGACUGGAGAGGAGACUG
rnacentral:rRNA from 1 species